GCAUUCAGGGAUCAGUUUUUAAGAACAACUUAGUGGGUGGGGGGAAGCCAGUGAGCCGGGAGUGCUGAUUGGUCUGGUCAGAGAUGAAAUCAUAAGGAGUGAAGCUGUCUUCUUGCACUGAGUCAGUUCCUGGUUGGGGGCCACAAGAUCAUAUGAGCCAUUUUAUCAAUCCAGGUGGUGUCAGCUGAUCCAUCAAGUGCAGGUUCACAAGUCUUCAGGUUGAAAAGCUACACCCUAGGAACUACAGCUGAGGAGCCCACCUCCACAUCUGGAACUUAUUCAGAUGAUGAGAUCAUGGACCUUGAUCCUGAGUCUGACGCUGUAAUGUGCUGAAUUUUGCUGGGUGGGUAAGAGUAUCAAGGAGUGCCUCCUCUUGAGUCUGGGUGGCCUCUGCGAUUGCUUUGACCAAUAGAAUACUGCAGAAGUGACACUGUGCUACUUUCCAAGCCCAGGAAAUUCAGACUGGUAACUACUAUUUCCUGCCUCUUGGGAACACUGUCCCUUGGAGCCCACCACGUAUUUGGCUGGAGAGAUCAUAUUAAAACUACACGGAGAGAUAGAGGGGCCUAAAUGAAGCCAGCUUUCCAGCCACUCCUGCCAAGGCUUAAGGAAUAUGAGUGAAGGCUCAAGGCAUGUGAGUGAAUACCAUGCAGUGACCCCAACUGACUUCAUGUGGAACAGCAGAAGUGACCUGCCUAGCCCUGACUGAAUACCUGACCCACACAAUUAUGAGAAAUAAUAAAAUGGUUGUUGGGUUAAGCCACUAAGCUUUGGGGUAGUUUGUUACAUAGCAGUGGAUGACUGAAAUACUCCAUGACUUUGGGUCAGUGUCUCCUCUCUAGAACUAUUUCCCCAACUUCAGCAGUGUUAGGCUAGGUUAGGUGAACUCUAAAGGCCUUUAUAGCUCUGAUUUUCAGUUCCGAUGAAGACUAGUUGAAGUAGGUUGGGCUGCUUCUGAUGGCAUGUAGACAUUUGUUGGAUUACCAGAGGAACACACAAUUUAUAUAAUUAGGUACGCAGGCU
rnacentral:lncRNA from 1 species